CUAGGACUGGGUACUGAUAAUUUGCUAAUAAGGAAAAGCAUCUGCCUUAGAAAGCAUUUCAAUAACUUCUGUGUGUAUUUUCUUGCAGUAUUAUCAGAAAAUCCACCCAGCUUCACCAUUACUGUGACGUCUGAGGCUGGAGAAAAUGAUGAAACUGUCCAGACUACCCUCAAGUUUACAUACAGUGAAAAAUACCCAGAUGAAGCUCCCCUUUAUGAAAUAUUCUCCCAGGAAAAUCUAGAAGAUAAUGAUGUCUCAGACAUUUUAAAAUUACUAGCAUUACAGGCUGAAGAAAAUCUUGGUAUGGUGAUGAUUUUUACUCUAGUGACAGCUGUGCAAGAAAAAUUAAAUGAAAUAGUAGAUCAGAUAAAAACUAGAAGAGAAGAAGAAAAGAAACAAAAAGAAAAAGAAGCAGAAGAAGCUGAAAAGCAAUUAUUCCAUGGUACUCCAGUUACAAUUGAGAAUUUCUUAAAUUGGAAAGCCAAGUUUGAUGCAGAACUCUUGG
rnacentral:lncRNA from 10 species